rnacentral:tRNA from 1 species
GGAGGAUUGGGUGAGUGGUUUAAACCAACAGUUUACUAAACUGUCGUCUGGGAAACCGGACCGUGAGUUCAAAUCUCACAUCCUCCGCCC